rnacentral:lncRNA from 1 species
AUGGAAGUAAAGGAUCUGAUUAUAACCUGUGAAAAUAAGAUGCAGACCGAGCUUGACCCUAUCUACCCCCAGCUGGUGAAACGGUGUAGCCUUCUAUCCUCCCUGGAUCUCCCAGGCGAAAUGCCCCUUGAUCUACUCAAGCAAGAAAAGGCUCAGAUUUCCCCAAGGAGCUCCAGCCGGCACUUCCCAGCUCAGAAGGAUAUAGAUUAUGCCCAGGUAAGUAAGCCCUGCCACUUAUGCCACCCCAAUCUCCCUCUAGUCUCUGAUAUCUGUAGUCUCCAUAGGAAGACCCUAUGAAGGGCCUCUUAUGAGUGGCCUUCCCUAGAUAUUGGGCUCGCCCCAACCCCCUGAAAGAUUGAUAGGAAUCUCUUAUGUUUUAAGUUGGGAGGCUCAAGAAUCCUGGAACACAGAAAUCCAGAACAUUACCAGGAUAAAUGUGGUGCUUCCUCCCACAAUGAGGAAGGAAAUCCUGGAGUUCAGAGUAAGGACCCCUAACUCUGCUUGAACCCUCUGACUCCUGCCAUCUCCUCUUCCCUUCACAGAUAGUACAAAGCUCUGAGAAGAAGAAAUCAGACUCUCACUUGCAGUUGGGAGCAUCUUUCUGGAACCAGGCCCCACAAAGACCCCCUGGGCCAGCCCAGGUUCACAGCAUGCAAUGCUUACAGCCCUUGGAAGCAGGACUCAGUACAGAAACUGAAGAGAGUUCUGGCUGCUCCAGUGGUCAACUCCUGCCUGACUUGGGGCCCAGACAGAUCAAGGGGUCAGGGCCCUACAUCACUCCCAGUCAGAUGAUCGGACAGCCCCCAAACCAAAGAUCAUCGGCCUCCUACCCUCCUAAGCGCUCAGCCAGGCCCAAUCCCAAGGCCAAGAGAAGACUUAACUAUAAUCCUUGAUCAGCCCCUCCCUGGUCCCUGAGAGGUCUGGUCCAAUGCUGGCUACCUUUGCCUUACUGACCUUGUGACCCUGACUUAGUCAUUUCCCUUUCCUUAGCCUCUGUUUUCUUCUCUCUAAAAUGAGAGACUUCUACUAAAUGAUCCUUGAGGUCUCUAAUUGUUCACAAUGUGUAAUCCUUUGUAUUCCUACCUUUUAAAAUUGGAAAAUAAAGGGAUGUCCCCAUGGAAAAUGUUGUAUGUU